AAAACAUUCAGAAAAAAAAAUGGUGUAGAAGUGCAUGAAUAUUUAACCACAUAAUCCUCAAAGCCAUCUCAAAUAUCCUAAGGAGAACACUUGCUUCAGUUGUCUCAAGAUCGAAGUUUCAAGAUGAGUGGGAUUUUGUGCAGGAUGGAAGAGCAUUGUGAAUGAAACUCUUUGUUAGCCCUUCUCCCCACCGCUUGCAGCCAACUGCCUGCCAUUUUUGCUGGGGAAAGAAUGCUUGGCUAAACUUGUUCUUGUCCAAGCUUAUCAAUUGCUGCUUGUCUACUGUGCUAUAACAGAAGCCCAAACAAUCAUCAUUAAGGGAGGUGCAUUCCAUCCUAAAUGCCUUCAGAUUGGCAUUUCUGUUCGUGGCAGAUGGUGUUUUCUAAAGAUGGCUACCACGAUCUCUCUCAUUCCUGUGCACUCUGUUAUGAUAGGAUGUUGCCACUCCUCUACUAAAAAAUUAGUCUUUCCACAGCUUUGACUGUGGUCAGACACUGUGAUUUCUUUGACCAAUAGAAUAGACCUGAAGGGAGACUGUAUCAAAUGGGUGUAAACCUUACUGAUCCCAUAGCUCCCAAUUCUGCUCUUUGAAACCAGCACCAUGUAAGGGCGCAACUACCCUGAGACCAUUAUGUUGUGAGGGAGCUCGGACUCAGCUUGUGGAGAAGGUGUGCAGCAGAGAGCAACUAUGGCCAUUCCUCUGUUGUCCUCAUGAUCCCGGACCAGUCACCAGAAACAUAAAUGAGGGAGACAUUCUAGCCCCAGCAGAACAGAAGAACUAAGGACCCCAAUUGAUGACCCCAACAUAGAGCUGUUCCAAACAUCUCCAAACAUACUCAAUUGAAGCUUCUAUUUUUGUAGCAAAGGUGAGACAUUCCCACUGUGCCCUGCCAGGAUGUCUGACUUAACAGAAUCAUGAGAAUAUAAAAUUGUGGCAAUUUUACAUCACCAAAUUUGGGAUGAUUGGUUACAUAGAAAUAGACCCUCAGAAUACUAUUGCUCUUGCAAUAUAUGCAUGAUUCAGGUAGAACUAUAAUUCAUAUGACUCUAGACAGGAAAUGAUAGUUCAUUGACAUCUUGAUUGUGG
rnacentral:lncRNA from 1 species